AGGUAGCAGCACCAAGGAGCCCAGAGAAAGCAAGUGUCCCGGCUCACAGAAGCUCCAGCGGAUCAACAAUUUCCUUUCGGAGAAUGGAAUAUGCAUGUGGAUUCCAUAUGAAGGUAGAAGAGAUUCCAAAUUCACUCAACCGGGCAUAAAAAGCAAGGUUGCUUGUAUACCUUUUUCAGUUUGAAAAGACAAAUUCUCAUCGACCAUUCCCUCCUCAUUCGGAGAAGGUGGGUCCUCAGAAGAGCCCCCCCCCCCCCGCCCAUAUGAACCCCCUGCGG